GAUGUUGAUUACUUAUAUGUAUUCAAGUUGUGCUGAUUCGAGAGAAGAAUUGAAGAAACGAUUGAGCCAAGGAAAUUCUGGAAAAGUUGAAGAGGUGAAAGAGAGAUAUCGAUCUCAAGUUGUUCAUGGGGAAAUUGAUCAUCAAGUUCGAGAAAGGCGGUGGUGUCGAUUGGAACGGAUUCGUUAUAGCAAUGCUUAUUGCUCUACUGAUCAUGGCUUCUUGCAUCAUCAGUCCCAGGAGACGGGUUGUUUGCGUCUAUCGCUGCAUAUUAAAUGAGUCAAAAAGUUUUGAAUAGAAAAAUCGUCUUUCGCUUGGGCCGUCCCUAGAGAUCAUUGCGGUCUUCUUUUCGUAGCCGAGGUCUGGCGACAGAGAUUGUGAAAUCUGUUUGUUCUUUGGGAGUUCCUUCUUUCUCUCUGCAGACAUUUCGUUUGUCACUCUCUCUAUCGACUAAUGACGAAACAUCCUGGCCGUUUACCUUUCAACGUGGAAACAAUCAAUUUGUUGUUGUUUGUAUUU
rnacentral:lncRNA from 1 species